CCAGAGAUUUAUAGCCAGAUUCAAAGAUGAGUUCAACAAUUUCAGAUUUUGAGCAUUUUCCCAAUUUUCUGUGUUUAUUUCAGGUUGCUGCUUCUUCCAUUUUAACAUUGCCUUCUUACUGAUCUUUCGUUUCUUUAUUUAUCCUGUCACCACCCCUCUAUUUUUCACUAUAAUUUAAUCUCUCCUGCCUUUCUCCUGCUAUAGACCUCUUUUAUUUAAUGCACUCUUCCCCACUUCCUCUGCACCUUGAAAACUGUUUAUCCUCUAACUAGAGAAAUAAAGGACUGCAGAUGCUGGUAUCUAGAUGAAAAACACAAUGAUGCUGGAGGAACUCAGCAGGCCAGGCAGUAUCCAUGGAGAAAAACAGAUGGUCAACGCUUUGGGUCAGGACCCUUCUUCAGGACUGAAGGUUUUCUGUUAUUAUAUCCAUUAUAGAUCCCAGCAUUUUCCCUAUGACUGAUGUUAAGCCAACAGAUUACAGUGGAAUGAGUUGCCUUGACAAGUGGUUUGGUACGUCCAAUGACUGCAAAACAGUGCUGACAGGAAUCACUUCAUCAUCACCUGAAAUGUCUUCCUCAGGGCCAGACCACUUGUUGCAAGUUUGCAAGUGGGCAUUCUGCCAGAAAGACAAGUCAAGUCAAGACAAGACAAGUUUUUGUCAUAUGCACAAAUAUGGUGAGGUACAGGUACAAUGAAAAACUGACUUGCAGCAGCAUCAUAGAUGUGUGGAUUCAGACAACGGACAGAACAUAAAACGUACAUAAAUUAUACAACAGUUAAAGACAGUGAGGAAAAAGACUGCAAAGCGAGACACUAGUGCAAAAAUAAACACAAUCAAAGCCAAGUCCAUGGUAGUGCAAGAGGUGGUCCUUAGUGUUCUGUUGCUGAGGUAGGGUUAGGGUUGUGCAGGUCACUUCAAGUACCUGAGGGUUGUUGGAAAGUAGCUGUUCCUGAACCUGGUGGUGUGGGACUUAAGACUUCUGUACCUCCUGCCCGAUGGUAGCAGGGAGAAGAGGACGUUACCCAGAUGGUGGUGAUCCUUGAAGAUAGAUACCACCUUCUUGAGGCAGAGCCUCAUGUAGAUGCUGUCAAUGGUGGGGAGGGCUGUGCCUGUGAUGGGCUGGGCUGUGUCCACUACUCCCUGCGGCCUCUUGCAUUCCUGUGCAUUGGAACAGCUGAACCAGGCCAUGAUGCAACCAGUCAGGAUACUUUCAACAGUAUAUCUGUAGAAGUUAGAGUAUUUGGUGACAUGUUCAUGUACCUAGGUAAUGAAACCAGGGAAACCAGAAAAUUGGUUUAGGGUUACAGCAGGGUUCAAAGAUGUAACAAGUCAAAAUUCCAACCUACCCUCCUGAUGCAGGAAAAUUACGUUCCGGGGCACACGGACUACAAAAUGUCAUUUGUCCAUCAUCAAGUGGAAGUUACAGCCGCUGCUAAUACACAAUGGAAUUUCCACAGAAGCAUCCACCAUCUAUGAUAACUUCAACAGAAACCCAACCAAAAGGCUCCAUUUGCGAACUCAUCUUGGGACUUGAAUUGAUAUUUCACUAAUGUUAUGGCAGGAGCUGAGGAGAAAGCCCAUAGAAAUUCUACCCUAUUGGUAAUAAAAGAGUAUUAAUCUCCUGGUACAUGCUACAUCUCCCAGUUUAUUCAAUGUAUGUGAUUAAAAUUUGGCAGGGGAAGCAGUGCUUUGCCUUGGAUAUGUUUCUAUAUUUUGGGCUAAAGGCGAUGUGGAAGUACAUGGCUGAUAUUUCUCAGGUACUUCAUAUUGAAAGAAUAAAGAGGUAACUCAAGCUUCAACACCUCUCAACACCUUUGUUUUGACAUAUGUUGCGCAAAUAGAAUCUUGGCCCAGAUAGGGGAAUGAAUAAUCCAGGCUCCAGGCAUUCUCAUGAUUUCUGGUGGUUCACUUUGGAUGAUGGUUUAUUUUUGCCUGAGGAGUGGAGUUUCAUCCAAAACAUAAAAUUUACAGAACUGGGAUAAAGAGGUUAUUAUUAAUAGCCAGUGCCCGUACUUGAACUCUUCACUGUGCUGUGAAGUCAGGAAUCUCAAAUUUAAAGAUAGGUGGAGGAGUAGGGAGUAUUGAGGAGACAGGAAGGUUGCAGAGAGACCUAGAUAGUUUAGGGGAAUGGGCAAGGAAAUGGCAGAUGAGAUUCAAUGUUGAGAAGUGUGCAGUUGUACACUUUGGAAAAAGAAAUAAAUGGGCAGAUUACUAGCUGGAAGGAGCGAAAAUUCAAAGCACAGAAGUACAAAGGGACUUAGGGGUACUCGUGCAGGAUACCUUACAGAUUAACCACCAGGCUGGAUCAGUGGUAAAGAAAGUGAAUGCUAUGUUGGCAUUCAUUUCGAGAGGUAUAGUGUAUAAAAGUAAGGAAGUGUUGAUGAGGCUCUAUGGGGCACUAGUGAGGCCUCAUUUGGAAUACUGUGCACAGUUUUGGGCCCCAUAUCUUAGGAAAGAUGUGCUGAUGUUGGAGAGGGUUCAGAGGAGAUUUACGAGGAUGAUUCCCAGAAUGAAAGGGCUUACGUAUGAUGAGCGUUUGUUGGCUCUUGGACUGUACUCACUAGAGUACAGAAGAAUGAGAGGGGACCUCAUAGAGACAUUUAAAAUGUUGAAAGGACUGGACAGAGUAGAUGUGGCUAGGCUGUUUCCCUUGAUGGGUGUGUCCAGAACUAGAGGGCACAAUCUUAGAAUUAGAGGGUACAGGUUUAAAACAGAGAUGAGGAGAAAUUUCUUUAGCCAGAGAGUGGUGAAUUUGUGGAAUUCCUUGCCACGUACAGCAGUGGAGGCCUGAUCAUUGGAGGCGUUUAAGGAAGAGAUAGAUAGAUAUCUAAAUAGUCGGGGUAUCAAGGUUUAUGGGGAUAAGGCCAGAAAUUGGGGUUAGAAUAGUUUUUUUUUCACCUGCCCCUCCCCAAUUUCUCAUUUCUUUUUCUUUUUUCCCUUUUCCUUGGAGCAGACUCGAUGGGCCGAAUGGCCUACUUCUGCUCCCUUGUCUUGUGAUCUUGUGAAAAGAAAACUGAGAAUAAUUUUUGAAAUGACCAAGUUCUUACCUCUAACAUUUAAUAAACGAAGGAACUAUGUACCUAGAGUUAAUUAAUUUUUCCAUUAAUUUCAUUUAGCUUAGGUUCUAUGGAAUGCCACCUGGUGACUUGCUUUUAACUGCCAGCUCUCCUAAUUUGUGCCACAAUAUUAAAAGCUGUUUUGUUUUUGAAAUAAGAAAAGCCAGUGAUGUUUAGUAUGAUAGGGAUUUCAGCAGUAAUUUUCUUUAAAGAUACAAUGAUGCCAAAUAUGAUAUUGCCUUUACUUCAUUUAGACUUUACAGUUACUGUUGAUUCCACCAGAAAUAAGUACCUUUGUUCCCAAUGCCAACUUAACAUAAGAAGUAACUAUAUGUUUAAAAUGAGAAAUGUUGGUUUAGGAGCCUUUAUCAGGUCAGCAGCGUUGAAGAUUGCCCAUCUGGAAAGUUAGCUUGUCUUUUCUCUUUAUGGGGGCUCUGUACUUUAACUUGCCAUGUAUUUUUAUAUAAUCUUCUGUUGUUUCAGCUUUUAAUGUUUUCUCUAUUCUGUAUGUAACGUUUGACCAGUCAGCUUAUUUGACCAGUUUUCUUGAUUUAAUAGUCAAUUAAAAUACCACAUUAUGAAAGGAGAAUAAUUGUUUGAUCCCCUACAGUCAGAAAGAUGAAACACUAUAUUGAACAUAAUCAUGGGAAAAAGUCACCUAAUUAACUGACUGAUAUAAAAAUUUAGGGCAAGUCCAGAACAAGUUUACACUGUGAGAUUUGUUGGAAUGCUAUUAAUGACUCCAGCAAGACAUGGAUGGAUUUGAAAAUAAGAUUGUUAUAAUUGCAACCCUCCCUGACCAGGAACUAAGGUCCAUGUGAAUGUUGUUGGUGAGAUUUUGAUAUGAGCAUCAGAUUUUUAGAUGAAAUCGAGUUUGCUGAUGAUCUCAUCCAAAACAAUCAAUAAAAAGCAACAGUUUUAUGUUUUUUUUAAAAUAAUUAUUUCAUUUCUCCUUGAAUUCUCCUUGAAGGAGCAUUGAAGACCUCAAAUUCAUUUGUCAGGAUCGUACAGAAGACCAUUAUAAAUGGCAGAAAGAGAUUGUCAGCCUCCCAAACUACCCACCUACUUAUCCCACCAAGUAUAACUCAUUCUUGAUUCCAAGGAACUAAACUUGGAAGACAAUGUUCUUAAAGUGAAAUAUACACCAGUUAUACAAACUAAAUAAAUAUAAAACAGUUAGAAAGAAGUUGGCAGUAAAUCCUCAUUUAUCUAUUGGAUGUCUACAGGAUGAAACCAGUGUGCUUUCCUUAUAAUUUCAGAAUAAAAAAAAUUCUUGGAGCUCGUAAUUUACUUUACCACCAUCAUAUCUUGAUAAUGCAACAAAAAUACAAUGAGUGGAACUACCUGGUAAAGGUGUAAAUGAAAGUAAUGAAGGUCAUGUUUCCACCCAUUCACUUAAAAUAUCAGUUUUGCAUUAUAUAGUAUAUUUGACAUAGCUUUGAGCACGAUUUGAACUUCUGCCUGGGAGCGGCAGCAUGAAGGCAGCUGAAUUUUACAAUAUCUCAAUAACAUCCUACAUGUUGGGGGGAAAUAACUCAAAAAUAGUUAGCAGGUGGCUGCACAAUCAUCAAAGAAGGGUGCUGCCCUGCUCAUUGCGUAAAGUAAGUGCUCCACGGUGGAGUUCUGCUCAGGAAAAAUAGAAAGCCCCAAGUGAAGAGAACCCAAGGAAUUAUUUUAUGGCCAGGAAAAUCACUUCUUUUUAGGCUCUGACUCCUGGGAUAAAUAUCCAUUUUCCCUUAAGUUUUAAAACAUAGUCAGCUAUUUCUGUUUCCCCACAUGAGGAAGCUAUAACUCAAAUUGCACCUUUUUGAGUGCAACACAGCAGACAACAGAGCCAUGGCACUGAAUCACUCAG